CCUACGGGAGGCAGCAGUGAGGAAUAUUGGUCAAUGGGCGGAAGCCUGAACCAGCCAAGUCGCGUGAGGGAAUAAGGCCCUACGGGUCGUAAACCUCUUUUGCCGGGGAGCAAGGGCGGGGACGUGUCCCGGCCCGGAGAGUACCCGGAGAAAAAGCAUCGGCUAACUCCGUGCCAGCAGCCGCGGUAAUACGGAGGAUGCGAGCGUUAUCCGGAUUUAUUGGGUUUAAAGGGUGCGUAGGCGGGCUUUUAAGUCAGCGGUAAAAAUUCGGGGCUCAACCCCGUCCGGCCGUUGAAACUGGUUUUCUAGAGUUGGAGAGAAGGAUGCGGAAUUCGUGGUGUAGCGGUGAAAUGCAUAGAUAUCACGAAGAACUCCGAUUGCGAAGGCAGCAUACCGGCUCCAUACUGACGCUGAGGCACGAAAGCGUGGGGAUCGAACAGGAUUAGAUACCCGGGUAGUC
rnacentral:rRNA from 1 species